CCCUUGGUAACCCCCCCCGCCCACUAUGACGCCCCUGUGUGUGGAUGGACUACUGUACCUUUCAAUAACUGUUGAGUCUCGACCGGUAGGUCCUCAAGGCCCUUCAUACCUCUCAGCGGGUCCUUUGCUUUGGCCUUUCCUGGUGGUCGAUUGCAGCUUUUCCUUUUGGUUUUUUCACCUGCUUUGAGUCGGAAAUCCUUGGUCAACUCACCUUUGUAUCACUGUAUGACAACUCAGCACGACGUAUGGUUAAACUGACAUAAUUUAAACCGUAUAAUAUACAGAUUAAACAGAUUUAACAUUAAAUAAUACAGAUUUAACAGAUUUAACAUAGACUGUUUAAAAAUAAAAAACAACCGCCUAAGUAAAGUCUUUGUGUCAAAAAUUGCAUUAGCUUGAUGUCUGGCAUGAGCCACUUGCCAAAGUAGAAC
ensembl:lncRNA